GAAAGGAGGGAGAUAGGAAAAGCAUGGAGGAGGUCGGAAGAUGGGAAGAGAAGGAGAGAGAGAGAGGGGAAAGAGAGAGAGAGAGUAAAUGAGUGAAAUAGAGAGAUAGACAGAGAGAAAGAGUGACGCUAUACCGAACGUUGAUCUGCUAGAAUCUGUAGCGAAGAAUUCUUCGACUCACAACCGAUUCUCUUAAAGAAAGAAAAUCUUUGAGAAUGUAUUGAACAAUGAAACUGCAUGUAGUAUCUAAAAGCAAAUGUACUAUGAUGGCCACGGCUGGAAAGUCCUUAGGCCAAGGUUUGUUCGGUAACGGCCGAUAUGAGAUUAAUAAUCAUCAUCAAAAGCAGAAAUAACAGCAAUAACCACAUCAUCGUCGCCGAUCUUUAAUCUUUAUCUUCUAGUUGCUUGAAUUAUGGAGGUACUUGGCCUAGUGGUUAGAGCAGCAAACUCGCGGUCGAGGGAUCGCGGGUUCGAAUCUCAGACCGGCGAUGUGUGUGUUUAUGAGCGGAACACCUAAAUUCCACGCGGGUCCGGUAGAAGUUAAUGGCGAACUUCUGCAGACAUUUUCACCAUAAUUUUCUCACACUUUUUUCCUCCUGUAUCUUGCAGCUCGCCUGCGACGGACCGGCGUCCCGUCCAGGCAGGGAAACUAUACGCCAAUGAAACCAGGAAACCGGCCCUUAUGAGCAAGGCAUGGCUCGAAAAGGAACAAACAACAACACUUGCUUCACUUAUUGAAAUGCGGCCACACUGGUGCAAUAUUUUGAAGGGUUUAGGCGAGCAAAUCCCUUCCCAGUACUUAUUGUGUUUAUGCGAUACUUAGUCUAACGUUUGCUUACGUCGAACUGCUAAGAUAUGGAGACGCACACUAAUACCAGUUGCCGACCGAUCUGGUGGGGGACAUAUACAAUGACACAAACACACACAUCAUCAUAUCAUAUACCUAUUUCUUUAUUACCCACAAGGGGCUAAACACAGAGGGGACAAACAAGGACAGACAUAGGUAUUAAGUCGAUUACAUCGACCCCAGUGCGUAACUGGUACUUAAUUUAUCGACCCCGAAAGGAUGAAAGGCAAAGUCGAACUCGGCGGAAUUUGAACUCACAACGUAACACAGACGAAAUACCUAUUUCUUUAUUACCCACAAGGGGCUAUACAUAGAGGGGACAAACAAGGACAGACGUAGGUAUUAAGUCGAUUACAUCGACCCCAGUGCGUAACUGGUACUUAAUUUAUCGACCCCGAAAGGAUGAAAGGCAAAGUCGACCUCGGCGGAAUUUGAACUCAUAACGUAACGCAGACGAAAUACCUAUUUCUUUAUUACCCACAAGGGGCUAAACAUAGAGGGGACAAACAAGGACAGACAUAGGUAUUAAGUCGAUUACAUCGACCCCAGUGCGUAACUGGUACUUUAAUUUAUCGACCUCGAAAGGAUGAAAGGCAAAGUCGACCUCGGCGGAAUUUGAACUCACAACGUAACGGCAGACGAAAUACCGUUAAGCAUUUCGCCCGGCUUGCUAACGUUUCUGCCAGCUCGCCGCCUUCAUAUCAUAUACCCAUAUAUGGGUAUAUGAUAUCCUAUCAUAUACCCAGGCCUAUUCCCCAUUUUUUUUUUGGAGGUAGGUAGCCACAGCAAGACACAUACUAAGCAUUCCAUUCAUUUCUCAGUUCAAGGGGGGCGAGCUCCGUUCUAUGCUCGGGGUCAAGGCAUAGAACGCAACCUCCAAUAUCAGUAGCAGGGCUCGACAGCAUAUGCUGGUUCACCCCCACCGAAUCAUGCUGGUUCCGUACCUUUUUGCACAACAUCAAAAUUCACUCAACCGUCCAGAAACACACGCCAAGCUUUCCUAUCAUUUAUAAACUCCCUUGCCUCUCUCACUCCAACACCUAUAACUACCAAAGCUUUCUUCUCUCCAUCCAUCCAUCCAUCCACACAAACAGGGGUCUGCUUCUGGUUCAGCUUUCAUCACCCUCCUUACCAUCCGUUCUUCGUCCAUUCUCUCCAUGAGGCCAAACCACCUCAACAAUCCUAUUCUCUCUUUACUCUUUACUAUUACUCUUAAUUGUUUCAGUCAUUUGACUGCGGCCAUGCUGGAGCACCGCCUUUAAUCGAGCAACUCGACCCCGGGACUUAUUCUUUUUGUAAGCCCAGUACUUAUUCUAUCGGUCUCUUUUGCCGAACCGCUAAGUAAUGGGUACAUAAACACACCAGCACCGGUUGUCAAGCAAUGCUAGGGUGACAAACACAGACACACAAACACACACACGCAUAUAUAUAUAUAUAUAUAUAUAUAUAUAUAUAUAUAUAUAUAUAUAUAUAUAUAUACAUAUAUACGACGGGCUUCUUUUCAGUUUCCGUCUACCAAAUCCACUCACAAGGCAUUGGUCGGCCCGAGGCUAUAGUAGAAGACACUUGCCCAAGAUGCCACGCAGUGGGACUGAACCCGGAACCAUGUGGUUGGUUAGCAAGCUACUUACCACACAGCCACUCCUGCGCUUUAUAUGUAUGUAUGUAUGUAUGUAUGUAUGUAUGUAUGUAUGUAUGUAUGUAUGUAUGUGUGUGUGCGUAUGCGAUGGGCUUCCAAACAGUUUCUGUCUGCCAAAUUCACUCUGUGUUAAUCCUUAUGGAUAAUAAAGAAAUUUGACUUGAGGCUAUAGUUGAAAUCUCUUGCUCAAAGAAGGACUGAACCUCAAACCACAUGGUAUCAAAGCGCUCUCUUUUUUCUUAUCGCGCAACCAUACCUGCACCAGCAUAUCGAAAUAUUUUUCUUGUUGGUUUGUAGCAGAAGUUGAAGGCCACACAUUUUGAUGGAGAAGGCUAUAAACAUCAAAACUAAAACACUACCUUAGCUUGAUUGCUAUUAUAUUAUACACAGUGGAGGCGCGUGGCUUAGUGGUUAGGGUGUCAGCAUCAUGAUCGUAAGAUUGUGGUUUCGAUUCCUGGACCGGGCGACGCGUUGUGUUCUUGAGCAAAACACUUCAUUCCACGUUGCUCCAACCCGCUCAGCUGACAAAAAUGAGAAAUGCUGCGAUGGACUGGCGUCCCGUCAAGCUGGGGAGCACGUACGACCUUGUAACCGGGAAACCGAGUCCAUGAGCCUGGCUAGGUUUUAAAAGGGCGCAUUUAUUAUUUAUAUUAUACACAAUGACAAAGCGGCAAACUGGCAGAGUCGUUAGAACGCUGGGAAAAUGCUUAGCGGCAAUUUGUCCGACGGUACGUUCUGAGUUCAAAUGCUGCCGGAGUCCACUUUGCCUUUUAUCCCCUCCGGAGUCGGUAAAAUAUGUACCAGCUGAGCACUGGGGGGUCAAUGUAAUCGACUUACUCCCUUGCUGGACUUGUACCAAAAUGUGAAAUUAAUAUAAGCACUGAUAAGGCGGUGCGCUAGUAGAAUCAUUAAUAUACAGAAAAAAAUAAAUGCCUGGCGGCAUUUCUUCGGAUUAUACGUUCAAAUGCUACCGAGGCUGAUAUUGCUUUGCAAUUCUUUCAGGGUCGAUAAAAUACAUACCAAUUGAGCACUGCGGUCUAUGUAACCUAUUUCUUUAUUACCCACAAGGGGCUAAACAUAGAGAGGACAAACAAGGACAGACAUAGGUAUUAAGUCGAUUACAUCGACCCAGUGUGUAACUGGUACUUAAUUUAUCGACCCCGAAAGGAUGAAAGGCAAAGUCGACCUCGGCGGAAUUUGAACCCACAACGUAACGACAGACGAAAUACGGCUACGCAUUUCGCCCGACGUGCUAACGUUUCUACCAGCUCGCCGGUCUAUGUAACCGACUUACACCUUAUCCCGAACCUGCUGGUCUUGUACUAAAAUAUGAAACCAUUAUCAUAUGAAAUGAUGAAUGGCAGAUUUGAUCUGGAGCAGGAUUUGAAUACCUCCUGUUAUUAGUAAAAACUUCAUUGUUAAACGAUAAGGUGCUGAUCUAGAAGGAUCGUUCAUUCGUUCGUGCGUCGGAUAAAGAUUUCUUUCAGCACUUUACGUUUUGAAAGGCGGCGAGCUGGCAGAAACGUUAGCACGUCGGGCGAAAUGCGUAGCCGUAUUUCGUCUGCCGUUACGUUCUGAGUUCAAAUUCCGCCGAGGUCGACUUUGCCUUUCAUCCUUUCGGGGUCGAUUAAGUAAGUACCAGUUACGCACUGGGGUCGAUAUAAUCGACUUAAUCCCUUUGUCUGUCCUUGUUUGUUCUCUCUGUGUUUAGCCCCUUGUGGGUAGUAAAAAGAAAAAAAUACUUUCCGUUUUGAGUUCAAAUCACAAUGAGGUCAACCUUGCAUUUCAUUCCUUCAAGAUCGAUAAAAUAAAGUAACAGUUAACUUCUUAAAAAUUGCGUGUGUGUAGUGAUAUCUGUUUGGGCAACAAAUGAUGGAAAUAUCCUUGUUAUGCUCGAUUGUGAAUUUCUUAUAAAUUCUGAGUUGUAAUUUCAUUCAAGUAAAGUGGUAAGAUUUUGCAGGUUCAUAGUCCGUGGGUAUCCCUUUAUUUUGGUAUUAUUUGGUUUUCUUCAUAGGUAACCUCAUCAAAUUUGAUGAAUUUUUGAUCGACCUCAGCAUCUAAUUUUUUAAGCAUGACACUUACUCUAUAGGUAUAUUUUGCCGAACCGCUAGGCACACAACGAUGUUGGAGGACAAAGACACACAAACAUAAAUACACGCAUACAUAUAUAUAUAUAUAUAUAUAUAUAUAUAUAUAUAUAUAUAUAUAUAUACGACGGGCUUCUUUCAAUUUCCGUCUAUACACACACACACACACACACACACACACACACACACACACACACACACACACACACACACACACACACACACGUAUAUAAGUAUAUAUUUAUGUGUAUACACACGCACAUGUUGUUCGGUAAGGAUGCGGAUAAUUUAGGAAAAAUUUAACCCGCUCUAGAAUAACACAUCACUUGAUCGGCUUAAAUAUUAUGUAUUAUGAUAUUGCGUCCAUAUAAGUGUCUAUGCGUGUAUUCUGUGUGUGUGUGUGUGUAUGUGUGUGUGUGUGUGUGUGUGCGCGUGCGUGAAAGCAUGUGGCCAAGCGGUUAGAUUGGCAGAAUCGGUAGCACGCUGGGCGAAAUACUGAGCGGUAUUUCGUCUGCCGCUACGUUCUGAGUUCAAAUUCCGCCGAGGUCGACUUUGCCUUUCAUCCUUUCGGGGUCGAUUAAAUAAGUACCAGUUACGCACUGAGGUAGAAUUAUCGACUUAACCCGUUUGUUUGGUCUUGUUUGUCCUCUCUGUGUUUAGCCCCUUGUGGGUAGUAAAAAAAUAGGUUAGAUUGUUGCAGUCACGGUUGCAAGAUUGCGAUUUUGAUUCUCAGAACGGCUGAGCGUUGUGUUCUCAACCAAAACAUUUCAAUUCACGCCUUUCCACUCCAGUCCACUAUUCUCAACUGGUAAUAACUAUCCCUGCGAUGGUCUGGUGUUCUGUUCAAUAAAAAUGUAACCUGAUCAUUUUAGCCAGUGGUGUAGGAUCAUCCUUCGUAUAUUCCAUGGAAUACGGCAGUGCUGGAGCACCGACAUUAUCAUCAUCUUUUUGAUGCCCAUUUUCAUGUGGAUGCCUUUUGAUGAAUGAAGGGAGAUUCAUAUUACUUUUCGAGUUUCUUACCUUGAUAUUGUCUCAUUUGAGAUUUUGGACAGCACAAAGUUAAGCCUCUUUUUGAGAACAAUCUAACUUCAAUCCAUUGAUGAGGUUUUGGUCAUUGAAUAUUAUGGUAUUGCAGCACAUGGUAUUAUUCUGGACAGUAUCGUAGCGACAUUUGAUAAAGUGGAAAGUAGUCCUGUUCGGGGCUAAGCAUAACUCUCGAUGUCAACUGUAUACAUACAUACAUAUAUAUAUAUAUAUAUAUAUAUAUAUAUAUAUAUAUAUAUAUAUAUAUAUAUAGUUAAUCCAAACAAGAAAACACAGAAAAAAAGAAAAAAAACAGCAACGCGAGGACGUGGAACAAUUAAAGUAUUAUUGACGCUCAGGAAAGAAGGGAAGGAGGGUUUAACGUUUCGAGCGGAGCUCUUCGUCGGAAACAAGGAGAAGGAAAGAUCCCAAGAAGGGAAGACAGAGGAAAAAAUAUUUUUGCUGGUGGUGCUCAAGAGAUCACAUGUUGAAAGAACAGAAGUUGGGAGGUAGACGAAUCAUGAUUUUUAAAAGCAAGAGAGUUUUAAAAAAAAGGGGAAUGUGUGUGUGUGUGCAAGGAUGUCAAGUGUGUUUGUGCGUGCGUGUGUGUGUGUGUGUGUGUGUGUGUGUGUGUGUGUGUGUGUAUGUGUGGUGAAUAAUAAGCAAUGGCAAGUAAGCAGUCAUAAGGCACUCCUUUAUGACAAGCUGGCUUGUUUGUAUCCAGCCAGGUCAAAGCCAGGUCAAAAAAACAAAGGGGUAUAUGUAUCAUAUAUAUAUAUAUAUAUAUAUAUAUAUAUAUAUAUAUAAUUUUGUUGCGUAAUGAAAUAAAAAAGAACAAGGCUGUGUUGAUAUUAGAACAUUUAUAGAUAGAAUGUCUUACAGUUUCUCCACCUUACUCUCUAUUUUGUAUCACAUCUAAACUAUGACUUAACCAUCCUUUCACAACGUUUCCCAUAAAGGGAUAUAAUUAAUAAAUAUUCUGGAAACAGCUGUAAGACCUAUCUAUAAAUGUUCUAUCUACACAUCCGUGAUUUUUUACCUCAUUACGUAAAAAAUUCUUAUAUAUACACACGCUGACACUGAACCAAAGUUGAACCCGUUAUUCGCAAAAUUACCGAACCUGGAACUUAACUAUGAUCUGUCUGUAGCACUUAUUCAGCAUUACCUGACACCUCUGGGUCUCAAUGACACCCUCAUUUCUUAUAACCUCAAUUUCUCGCUAUAUAUAUAUGUAUAUAUAUAUAUACAUACACACACACACACACACAUAGACACACAGACACACACACACACACACAUAUAUAUAUAUAUACUAUAUACUGUAUAUAUAUAUAUAUAUAUAUGCAUAUACAUACAUACAUACAUUUAUAUAUAUAUAUAUAUAUAUAUAUAUAUAUAUAUAUAUAUAUAUAUAUACAUACAUAAAUAUAUAUCUAAAUAAAUAAGUAUAUAUAUAUAUAUGUACAUAUAUAUAUAUAUAUAUAUAUAUAUAUAUAUAUAUAUAUAUAUAUAUAUGUAUAUGUGUGUGUGUAUACACACACAUACGUUCACAUAUAGCUACGAACGUAGAAAUUUACAGGAAGAGGGGAAGAUAUAGGGAGGGUUGACAUAUAACAACGCGUGUGCGAAGGCAUACACUCACUUUCUCCCCACCCUCUCUCUCUCUCUCUCUCUCUCUCACUCAAAUACACACACACACACACACGCUCCAUAGACACAUACAGGUUUUCUUCUAUGAUCGACAGCGGCGCUUCCGAGAGCUGCUGGAACUUCUGUAAUAGAUAAAUACAUAACUUUGUGUCUGUGUGUUUGUUAUCUUGAUAGAGCAGUAGGUUUUGUGGUUGGUAGCCCUUCCUUCUUUUCUCACAUAAACACAACAACCAUUGGAUCAUUCAAUAUCGUUGCAGUGUCCAUCUUAGAAAACUACGCUCUCAUUUUCUUCUUGCCAUAUCCCACACAGUGUACAUACAUACAUACAUACAUACAUACAUACAUACAAACAAACACACACAUACAUAUAUACAAGCAUACAUAAAACCACACACGCACAUACACAACUAAACAUAUAUGUACACACACACACACACACACACACACACACACACAUAGGCGCAGGUGUGGCUGUGUGCUAAGGUUGCUUUCCAGCCCCAUGGUUCUGGGGUCAGUCCCAUUGCGUGACACCUUGGGUAAGUGUAUUCUGCUAUCGCCUCGGAGCAACCAAAGCCUUGUAAGUGGAUCUGAUAUACGGAAACUGAAAGAAGCCCUAUAUAUAUAUAUAUAUAUUCAUUUUCCCUCUCUUUUUUUCAUUUAUAUAUAUAUAUAUAUAUAUAUAUAUAUACCAUACGUAUAUAUAUGUGUGUGUGUGUGUGUGCGUGUGUUUGUGUGUGCGCGCGUCUAUGUUUGUUAUCCCACCAUCGUUUGACAACCGAUGUUGGUGUAUUUACGUCCCCGUGACCUAGCGGUUCGUCGGAGACACCAAUAGAAUGAGAACUAAGCUUACAAGGGACAAGUUGUGGAGUCGAUUUCUUCAGCUACAAAAAAAACCCUGUAAGGCAUUGCUCCAGCAUGACCACAGCCAAAUCACUGAAACAUAUAAAAGAAUAAAAUGAAACUUUUUCUUUCGCUUUCUCCCUCCACUCUCUCUCUCUCUCUCUCUCUCUCUCUCUCUCUAUAUAUAUAUAUAUAUAUAUAUAUAUAUAUAUAUAUAUAUAUAUAUAUGUGUGUGUGUGUGUGUGUGUGUGUGUGUGUGUGUGUGUGUGUGUGUGUGUAUGUGUGUGUAGGGAGAGAGUGAGUGAGAGAGGGAGAGAGAGACAGUGAGUGAAUGAGAGAGAGUGAGAAAGACAUAUAGAUAGGUGUGUAGGUGUGACUCCGUAGUAAGAAGUUUACUUCGCAACCCCAUGUUUCCGAGUUCAGUCCCACUAUAGGGCACCGUGGGCAAGUGUCUUCUACAAUAUCCGCCAGUCGAUCAAAGAGACUUGUGAGUCGACUUGGUUGACAGAAGCUGAAAGCAACCCGCCGGGUAUAUGUGUAUGAUUUUUUUUUUUUUUCGCUGCCACCGCAUGACAACCGUUGCUGGUUUGUUUAUAUUCCGUAAAUCGUGACCAAUAGAGAGAGAGAGGAGGGUUUAAAAAAUAUAAGAACCGGGGUCAUCUCAAAACCAUUCAAGGCAGAUCCCUAUCAGUCAAUGUAGAUCCUUCAGAUCAUCAUUAAGGCAGAUCCCGCAGUCCAAUGACUGAAACAAAUCAAAAAUAAAAGAUGUGUGUGUGUGUGUGUGUGUGUGUGUGUGUGUGUGUGUGUGUACUAUCUUCUCUAGUCUGUACGUGCGUGUGUAUGUGUAUACGUAGUUAAUACCAAAUAUGUCUGUAUGUAUAGAAACACUGGAUGAAUAAAGGACAUAUAUGUGUAUUGUAAUAUUAAAUUAUUAUUAUUAUUAUUAUUAUUAUUAUUAUUAUUAUUAUUAUUAUUAUUAUUAUUAAGGCGGCGAGCUGGCAGAAAUGUUAGCAUGCCGGGCUAAAUGCGUAGCCGUAUUUCGUCUGCCGUUACGUUCUGAGUUCAAAUUCCGCCGAGAUCGACUUUGCCUUUCAUCCUUUCGGGGUCAAUAAAUUAAGUUCCAGUUGCGUACUGGGGUUGAUGUAAUCGACUUGAUCCGUUUGUCUGUCCUUGUUUGUUCCCUCUAUGUUUAGCCCCCUUGUGGGCAAUAAAGAAAUAGGUAUUUCGCUCGUUGCUACUUUCUGAGUUCAAUACCAAAUGGGUUUUUUUCCACCAGGAACCUUUCGAAGCACCUCCCCCUAUUGGGAGUUUUUCAUUGUUACAAUCUUUCGUUGUUAAACAGUUUUUACUCGAAUUUUUUCAAAAACGGACAAAACCCUUUGUAAAUUAUUAUUAUUAUUAUUAUUAUUAUUAUUAUUAUUAUUAUUAUUAUUAUUAUUAUUAUUAUUAUCAUCAUCAUCAUCAUCAUCAUCAUCAUCAUCAUCAUGAAGGCGGUGAAACGGUAGUUUCAUUAGCACACGGGACUCAGAGGCAUUUCGUCCGUCUUCAUUUUCUGAUUUCAAACUCCACCGGGGUCAACUUUGUCUUACAACAUUUCAGGGUUGAUAAAAGAAAUAACAGUCGAGCACUGUUGUCGAUGCCAUCGACAAUAGAUUCUUCCUUCCCCACAUAUUUUAGAUCUUGUGUCUAUCUGUAGUGGAAAGCAUUGGAAGCACUCCGUCGGUUACGACGACGAGGGUUCCGGUUGAUCCGAAUCAACGGAACAGCCUGCUCGUGAAAUUAACGUGUAAGUGGCUGAGCACUCCACAGACACGUGUACCCUUAACGUAGUUCUCGGGGAUAUUCAGCGUGACACAGAGAGUGACAAGGCCGGCCCUUUGGAAUACAGGUACAACAGAAACAGGAAGUAAGAGUGAGAGAAAGUUGUGGUGAAAGAGUACAGCAGGGAUCACCACCAUCCCCUGCCGGAGCCUCGUGGAGCUUUUUUAGGUGUUUUCGCUCAAUAAACACUCACAACGCCCGGUCUGGGAAUCGAAACCGCGAUCCUAUGACCGCGAGUCCGCUGCCCUAACCACUGGGCCAUUGCGCCUCCACAGUGGAAAGCAUUACCAUUAUUAUGACGGUAGCAGGCAAAACAGUUAGCGCGUCGAUAAGACAUUUCGAGGCAUUUUGUCCGUCUUUACGUUCUGAGUUCAAAUUCCGUCAGGUUUGACUUUACCCUUCAUCCUCUAGGUAUCGUUGAAAUAAAUACUAUUUGAGCACUGAGGUUUGAUGUAUCCGACUUACCCUCGCCUCAUUAAAAUUGUUGAACUGUGCAAGUAUAUGAAACUAUUAUAAAUGCGGUGAGCUCUGUUAAUAAGUUAAGCAAAAUGCUUCGUCGCAUAGAUCUAUCUAUCUAUCUAUCUAUCUAUCUAUCUAUCUAUCUAUCUAUCUAUCUAUCUAUCUAUCUAUCUAUCUAUCUAUCAUCGUAAGAAGAGAGAGAGAGAGAGAGAGAGAGUGAGAGAGAGAGAGUGAGAGAGAGAGAGAGAGAGAGAGAGAGAGAGAGAGUGAGAGAGAGAGAGAGAGCACUUUGCUCUCAUGUGUUUAUUCCCUCCCUGCCUGAUGGUAGCGUGGUCUUUUCCGUAGGCUUUUCUUUCCACGGAUAAACCUAAUCUUGCUUCUUACAUUUAAAAAUUUUUUUCUGUGAUACACGAUCCCUUUUGAUCGCCUUUUUUUCUCCCGAUGCCUUUUGAUCGGAAUUUUACUUUUUUUCUCCUUUUUCUGUUUUCGGGAAGAAAAGCUCUAGAUUUGUAUUUGUCCCCCACCACUGUGUUCAGCCCUGUGUGGCCAAUAAAGAAAGUUAUUUAUCUCUCUAUCUAUCUAUCUAUCUAUCUAUCUAUCUAUCUAUCUAUCUAUCUAUCUAUCUAUCUAUCUAUCUAUCUAUUGGGUUGGUGCAUAAUUAUUGCGAUUUUUUCAACAAAUUUAUUCAACAAAAACAAUACCAAUAUUUAACAAAAACAUCUUUAAAUGACAGUCUGACCGUCUGCCAAGCAAAUGGGAAACAGUAAUUGAAGUAGAUGAUGAAUAUGCUCCGGAAUAAUCAUUUAAAGAUAUUUUUGUUACAUGUUAUUAUUGUUUUGUUGAAUAAAAUUUGUUGAAAAAACGCCGCAAUAAUUAUGCACCAAUCCCAAUAUAUAUAUAUAUAUAUAUAUAUAUAUAUAUAUGUCCUUUUGUCUGUCUGUCUGUGUCCUUCCGCCUGUUUGUCUCUCCCUUUAUCUAUCUAUCUAUCUAUCUAUCUAUCUAUCUAUCUAUCUAUCUAUCUAUCUAUCUAUCUACGUGUAUGUAUGUAUUUAUUACACACAUUUAUGAAAAAUGAGGUGUAAGUUAUAUCGUGGGAGAUCAAACUGUUUCGACAAACAUUCACUUCGUCAACAGCUGUUGUGCAAAAGACAUGUCUUUGCUAAGUCACAUAAUAUAAAACAGUUGUUGACUUUGUGUAGGGUUUGUACAUAUAUUCACCGGAAACGGGGAAGCGGCUAAUUAAACGAAGCGGUCAGUUGGUAUAUGUGUGCGCCCGCUUGCGUGUAUGCGCGUGUCUGUAUGCAUAUAUAUAAGCACAUACAAUUGUUUAACUAUGUGUCUGUAAGUCCAUAUGCAUUAUUGUGGUUUUCAUUCUUAGAUAUAUAGUUUCAGUUUGUAAUACGUUUUAUCUUUUGUGCUUAUCUUACACAAUUGUACAAGCAUAAAAAACGCAGUCGAACAUAUAUGCAUACAUACAUACAUAUAUAUAUAUAUAUAUAUAUAUAUAUAUAUAUCUUUAUAUAUAAAAGUCAAGUUGUGUGUCUGUCUCCUACGAUUUAGAUUCUUAACUACUCCCAAAUUUUGCGGUGCAGUUUAACCAAAACCGGGUAUCUUAUAGUCGUGAUUCAUAUCGAUCCCUUCUGGAUAUUAGUGCGCGUCUACGAUGAGGCUACGAUUUUAAAAAUAAUUUACCAUCAUUUUUUUUCCAUUUUAAUGCAUUGUUUCGCUAUUAUAUAAGGGAAGUAACUCUCUAAAAAUGUCUACGAUGAGUCAACGAUUUAAAAAAAAAUUACCAUCAUUUUUUUUUCAUUUGUAAUGCAUUUUUUGGCUAUUUUUUGGCUAUAACUCUCUAAAAAUGCUUAUAUAGUUAUUUCCCUUACCAACCCGAGCAACGCCGGGCGAUACUGCUAGUUUAUAUAUAUCUAUAUAUAUAUAUAUCCAUAUACACAUGUGCAGACAGACACAAACACACACACAUACAUACAUACAUACAUACAUACAUACAUACAUACAUACAUACAUACAUACAUGCAUGCAUACAUAUAUACAUGCAUACAUACAUACGUACGUACGUACGUUCAAAAAUACCGUGAUGUUGAUGUUGAAAUUCCAGUGAAGGAAUCUUGCAUCUAGG
rnacentral:lncRNA from 1 species